GCGGGAAUAGCUCAGUGGUAGAGUACAACCUUGCCAAGGUUGGGGUCGCGAGUUCGAGCCUCGCUUCCCGCU
rnacentral:tRNA from 1 species